GUUGACUGAUGGUCUUUGACAAAGACAGACUUGUUUUUGUGAGCUCUGAAAAAAAUUUGACUUUGAAAUAUUUUUACGAUUAAAAAGUUUCAGUUGACUUUUGAACGUUAACGAAGACGGACGUACUUUCGUGAGCUCUGACUAUUGAUGAAAAGUUUUGAGUUUUACUGACUUGUACUUUGAGAGUAAAAUUGACUUCGCGUUAUAGAAUAGCGACUUGGUACUCAGGUUGUUGAAUGACUGGAUGACUGUAGUGUUAGGUUAUUGUUAUGAGAUAACAACUUGACUUUGACUUGAGUUGUGAAAUAAAAUCAUACUCUUGAACGUUUAGUAUGGACUGACAACGAACUUUUGUGAGCGUUAUAUAUGAAAUGUUUGACUUACAUUAAUUUUUUUGAACGACUUGACUUCAAUUUAAGUUUUGACAUCGGACUGAUCGGACGUGUUUUUUUAAGCCCUGACUGUUGUGAAUAAUUAAAUUUAUGUUGUGGUGUCAAGCGAUUGACUGUCAGUUGAGGUUCAGAUGUCGAGCUGUGCGGACGUGUUCAUCGAGCUGCUGUCUACAAAAAACGGGGCUGUGGUGAGUAUUGUAGAAUAAAUUUAUUGUAUUAUGGAAUAAAUUAACGAUGCUAAAUGAAAACUGUUAUUGUACACUUUGUAUGGAUAAACGUGUAUGACCACUCUGUCGGUUGGUUUUCAUGAAAGCAUAAAUUAUGUGAAUGAUGAUAUGAAGGGUAGAAUUCAUCAGUGCUUGUGUCUAGAAAUGCUGAAUGUUUAUUGAAAAGGCUAAAUGCUAGCCAGUACUAAGAGUUGAGCUACCGUGGGAAUGUGAAACGAACUGAUGGUGUAAUAUGAUGGUGUAUUGACAUACUUUUCUUAUAUGUACUAAAUAUGAUAUUGCUUUACUUGUAUUUGCAUGCUGUUAACAUUUCUAUUUUGUUCCAGUGUGCUGUGGUGAGUACUGUAGAUAUUACUUGAUUUUUAGUGUCUAUGAAUGCUGAUGUAUGAUAGCUAUAGCAUGAGCUCAAUGCUAACCAGUAUUAUGAGUUGAUGUAUUGUGGUGAUGCUAAUCGAACUGAUGAUGUAACAUGAUGGUGAACACUUACUGAAUGCAUAAAAUUUAUUGAAUUGCGUUUGUUGAUAUGCACUAUAAUAUGAUAAAUGUAUUGCUUAACAUGUAUAUUUCAUGAUGUUUAAUUUCAGUGGGCUGUGGUGAGUACUGUAGAUUGUAUUGCCUAUGUAUAGAAUUCAAUAAAAGAUUAUGACUGAAAACUGCUUUUGAUUCUUUUUGAACAGUUUUAGGGACUAUAAGUCUAUAACAAAAAUAUGUCGGUUGGCGUUCAUACAGCAAUGUUUUGAGUAGUACAGAAAUGUUUCUACGUUUGUGGUCGCCAGUUGUCUGUGAUGUGUAAAGUGAAAAAUACACGGAGCUUUGAAUACAACAAACAUUUACUGUUUUAACACAGAUUGUGUGCUAUGCAUUUUUCGAUGUAGAUCUUUUUCAGAUUUGACAUGAAAUGUAGACCUGACAUUUGAACAGAGCUGGGAAACGAAAAGGUAAGUUUGUUAAAUUUCACAAUGAACACUUGUGUUUUGACAAAAGAAGAGAUAAAGUGAGUUUUGUCAUCAUCAUGGUUUCUUUCAGAGUAUAACUCGUGAACAGAUGAAAACCUAUUUUUUGCUAGAUUUUCAUGUACUCUUUUUUUGGAUGAUAAGUAUGUCAGUAACUCAAAAUCAUACGGCUAGUACAGUAUGGAACAUGAAUGCUUUGUUCAGAUUUUCAGAUGUGUGCUGGCAGUUUAAGUCUGGCAGCUGAAGUGAACAGUCGUGUUUUCUGGAGCUCCAACAAUAUGCUAGAAGGUAAGUAACUAUGUUUGUUUUGCAUUGCAUGUUUUCAUAUGUUUCAGACUUUCAAGCAGAGAUGUCAUGCUGACUGGAGUUGAGCACAGGGCAGUGACAAAGUGAAAGGUAAGUACUUUUGACUGAAUGUUUGUUCUAUGCAUGUUUUGUUUCAAUACAUUUCAGGAGUGCUUAUCCAGUGAUGAUAUGACAGUUGGAGUGAACAGUGGAGCCAAGCAGUCUUGUUUUUGGAGCUACUCAACAAGCCUUGAAGAUGCUGAUGGCAGUGAUGGGUUUUCAAGCUGACCUGAACAGAAAAGCACUCAUAUGGUAAGUACAAAAUAGUUGUUAUAUGGGAUGUUGUGCAUGCUUUUAUGUUUCAGGUGUACUUGCAGUUAGAGACGAAGACGAUUCAAGAAGAGGACCAUAGGUCAGAAAGUGGAUGGAACAUACAAAGGGUAAGUUGAACCUGUGUUUUUGUUUGAUUUUUACCAUGCAUACUUUGCUUUGCUCUGUUUCAGAUUUCACAUGCAGAAAUUAAACAGGAUUUCAACUGCUGAGACACAAUUCAUCAAAAGUAAGGUAAGUUUUAAUUCAUUGAUUUGAGUUGUACAAUGUGUUCUUUACUUUAUUUCAGAUUCGAGUCACUGGUUUACACAUGGAAGAAGAUUUCCACGUCUGUUACUCAACUCUACAGAAGCAAGGUAAGUCGAUCAAAUUUUUGUUUUCAUUGACUGCUGUAAUGUGAUGUUAUGCUAUUUUUCAUGUGUGCUAUGCAGAGAUGGAGAAUUCAAUUUUAAGAAAGAUUAACUGCUGCAGCUUAGCUCUGCUCUGUGUUGAUUUUUGUUCAAAAACGUUUAAAAUGUAUGUGUGUUUUCAGAUGUUUUGUUUCAGUUGAUGUCCAGAUGGCAAGCAGUACAGACGUGUUUCUUGGAGCUGCCAAACAGUGAGUACAAACGUUUUAUAUUUUUCAGUUGUUUACUCAUAGAAGUCUGUGAAAGAUGAUAACAAGGGUUGAAUCUAUCAGCACUUGUGUCUAAAAAUGCUGAUGUGUGACGGUUUACUGAAAAGGGUAAAUGCUAGCCAGUACUUACACUUGAGCAACCGUGGGAUGUCGAACUAACUGAUGAUGUACUAUGAUGGUGAACACUUACUAUGUGUAUCAAAAUGCUUUUGUUGAUAUUUACUAUAGAUGAUUUGAUAUUGGUUAACAUUUGUUUGCAUGCUGUUAACAUUUCUAUUUCAUUUCAGGGAGCUGUGGUAAGUAUUGUAGUAUUAAUUUGUCUCAAUAAACGAUGAUGAAUGAAAACUGAUGUCGAUUCUUUUUGUACAGUUUUAGGUAUUAGCACUCUAUACAAAACUCUGUCGGUCGGUGUUUGUGAAUGUGAGCUUAAUGUUUGAGUAGAACAAAAAUGUCUUUACUUUUGUGAUCGCCAGUUGUCUGUGAUGUAAAGUGGAAAAAACACAGCUAUGAAGCAUACAAUUGUUUCAAUAUUUUAUCAAUGAUAGUGUGCUAUGCAUGUUUUGAUUUAGUUCGUUUCAGAUACGACAUGACAUGAAGAGUUGACAGUCGAACAGAGCUGAGCAAAGCAGAAAGGUAAGUGUGUUUCAUUUUAGUAUGAACACUUGUAUUUUGUUUUUAUAUGGUAUGUUUUGUGCAUGCUAUGUUUCAGGUGUACUUGUAGUCAGCGACGAAGUCGAUUCAAGAA